rnacentral:rRNA from 1 species
AUUGAACGCUGGCGGCAAGCCUAACACAUGCAAGUCGAACGAGGGGCGGACGGGUGAGUAAUGUCGGGGAAACUCCGUGGGGGAGGGGGAUAACUCCUGGAAACGGUAGCAAAUCCCACAAACCAUCGGAUGUCCCCAGAUGGGAUUAGCUUGUAGGUGGGGUAAAGGCUCACCUAGGCGACGAUCCCUAGCUGGUCUGAGAGGAUGACAAGCCACACUGGAACUGAGACACGGUCCAGACUCCUACGGGAGGCAGCAGUGGGGAAUAUUGCACAAUGGGCGAAAGCCUGAUGCAGCCAUGCCGCGUGUAUGAAGAAGGCCUUCGGGUUGUAAAGUACUUUCAGCGGGGAGGCGUUACCCGCAGAAGAAGCACCGGCUAACUCCGUGCCAGCAGCCGCGGUAAUUC